rnacentral:lncRNA from 1 species
GGAGCUUCUUUCUGGGGUUCAUCUGCGGAGCCAUUAGAGGCAGCAUCCUUUGGUUGUGAUGCAGUUGCACCUUCUGCUGCAGAUCCAGUUGCUUUUGAUGCUUUCUCUUUUCCAUCCUUACCGUCUUUGGCCUCUUUAGCAGGAGCAGGUGGUGGAGGAAUCAUGUGAGGUGGUGGUGUAUGCUUCAGUUUUAACAGUAUUUGCCGCAACCUAGACAGGUCCGUGGGUUUGCCGGGCUUUGGGCCUUGAACGACUGUAAUUGAUGGCUUCUUGUCCUGAUCCUUUUUGCCCCUUUUCUUUUCAAUGUUGGGAACUUC